ACCCUGACUCUUUAAGAAACGUCAAAGUUUGUCGGUCACUCAGUUAUUUCAUGCUUUUGGCUUUCGUUUAAUUUGUCUUUGUUAAAUAUGAUUAAAAUCCGAGAUUUGUUAAGGAGAACCUUUGGCAUAGUAAAACAUCACGUAGGAACUGAUAGUUUCGGCAACAAAUACUACAGUAUACCAGAGCAGAAAACGUGGACAGUUCAGUGGAUAUGGUUAUCAAGUCUCUCCGCUUCAGUCAGCACUGAAGCACAAAACAUAAUUUGGCAGACCAUUCGAGCAAAGAGAAUCUUGGAGGCAGUGAAUCCCAAGGAAUAUGAAUAUCAAGGAGAAAGCAUUCCCUCUGAAUGGGAUGCCUGGAUUCGUGGAAGAAGAAAGGAUCCACCCACUCUUGAGGAAAUUCAAAAAAAUGAGCAGUACAGAAAAACAAUCAAAUUACGAGCUAUGGAAGCUGAAGAACGGGAAACCCUGCUUCAAGACAAAGCAUAUGAGGAAGGGUUAAUUGCAAGACCUCGCACUCAAAUCCAAGGCCAUGCUGCUUCACCCAACUUCCAGCAAACUGUGCCAUCUGAACAUCCCAGUAGUACUGCCAACACUUUUCAGCCGGGGUCCUGGACUCCUCCUGGACCAAAAAAUAAGGAAACGUAGAAAUGAACAGAGAAUACAUUUUGAUUAAAAAAAAAACAACACACAAGAUUAAAGAAGCCUGGAAUGUACGGUAUGAUAGACAGCCUUACUUCUAGUUAAACCACUUAAAGGCACUGCAGUGCUAACAACAUCUGUGCGUGUUGUUAAAAUGCAUACUUUAAAUGUGCGAACAUAAACAAGUACUGUAAACAGUUUUUUUUUUUACCUGUUAUUCAUUCAAAUUAUAAAUUUGUAUUUGUUUCCAUGAUUGCUUCACUUUUCAGCAAAUUUUUGUGGAGGAAAAUGUUGGAGAAAACAUCAACCUGACUAAAGAAAGCUAUGAAAACACGACGCAUCUCAAAUGGGCUGUGGAGAGCCAAUGUCUAUCCCAGCGUCAUCAAGCACAAGGUAGUAGCCAACCUCUAAAGUGGUGACAGCUCAUCUCACCGGGCAGCCUCUCUUAUACAUCAGUUUACAGCUACCAGGUAACCUAAUCUAGACCUUGCUUAUAAUGUUACCACUAUGAAAACAACUCUUCCUUUGUCAAAAUGUGGCAGCAGGUUGCAACAGAGGCAAAUCCAACAAUCUGGACUGUAUGUGGCAUAAUGCACUCCCUCCUAGUACUUCUGCAACAAACUAAUAAAUCAUUGAUGUUUUAAAUAAUACAGGAGACGUUUCAGGGGAUGGACUUUGGUUUCAAUUCUGAUUAAAACAAAAUAAAUAUGAUCCACCUAACUACACCAAAUCAAAUCAGCUUCCAAUCUCACUUGGGUUUGCUUAAGAUGGGCUCCAAACCAUGUGAUCCUGAAAUGGAUUCAGACAGUUGUGGAAAAGGAUGGAAGGUUAUUAACAUUGUUGUCUGUGUCAUCUGGGUCUUCCAUCAUGCAGACUUACCGCUUACCUAUAGAGACCUAAAACACAUACUUUAUUUAAAAGGCAUUACCUGUUCAUUUUUUUAAGUCUUGUGUUGUAAACAACCAUUAUUGUUCCACAAACAUGAUACUGGUUAAGAUGGUGUAACAGCCUGGAAAAUAUACAAGUUGUACAUUUCUGCUAUAGAUGAACUAUUGUGACACUAUAAAGAAUUGACUUACAUUAACAGUCAGGAUGGGCUUAACCUUUAUUAUUAACAUAAAGGUUUUGUUUUUUUUAGACUGGACAUCUUUCUGAUCAACUUGUAGCUCCAGUUCAAGGUCUAUAAGCCAAGGAGUAGUAGUAAGUAAUACUAAAAGUACAAGCUAGGAGAAAUCAAAUUCAACAUAUAAGAUUUAUUAAAUAUUAAUACCAAAACAACUGACUAGUCAGAAAUAAUUCUUAAAUUAUUGGUCCUUGCUUUCAAGUCUAAAACAGGCAGUUUAUAAGUAUUUUGUUAAAAUAGAAGAAUUUGAGUGCUCAUAAACAACACUGAAUUGGAGACUGGUUAAAGGCAUGGAAGUGAGUGCAUGCAUGCGAGUGCACACUCACCCCCACAAAUGUAUUUAAUAACUGGUACAGAUGAUUUUACAAAAACAUAUUCUGACAAAAAUAAAUCAUUGUAAGGGUUAGCCUUGAUUUCCAGCUGACAAGCUCAUCUUUUUGGAAUAUCCUUUCCCUGAGUGUCAAUCCUGAUACAACAAAGCCUUCAAUAAACUGCAAAAAAGAUGGAUUUGAUUCA